UUUUGUUUUUUAAUUUAAAAUUUUUUAUUAUUGGAUAUUUUCUUUAAAUACAUUUCAAAUGCUAUCCUGAAACUCCCCUAUACCCUCCCCAUGCCCUGCUCCCCUACCCACCCACUCCCAUUUCUUGGCCCUGGCAUUCCCCGGUACUGGGGCAGAUAAAGGGGCCUCUCUUCCUAGUGACUGCCAACUAGUCCAUCUUCUGCUACAUAUGCAGCUAGAGACACAAGCUCCGGGGGUAUUGGUUAGUUCAUAUUGUUGUUCCACCUAGGGUUGCAGACUCUUUCACCUCCUUGGUCUUUACUUACCACACAUUGCUUACUCUUAUCUGGUUUCUAUUCAGCAGGGAGCUUUUAGUGUCUGAAGAAGUGUUAACAUAUUAUGAAUAUUUAACAUUUGUAUUAUUUCACUCCCAUUUGAACUACUUUGUGUUGAGAAAUAUAAGAAAGUUUAAUAAAGGGUUUGCAACAUUUUCCACAUGUGGCAUUUCAGUUUCGUAUGAAUUAUGAGGUGUUUCACAAAUUCUUAGUAAGUA
rnacentral:lncRNA from 1 species